rnacentral:tRNA from 1 species
AGGAGCGAAUGUUUCAGUUACGUUGAAUUAAACCCUAUGGGCGCUCUUU